CCGCGCCCGGCCCCCGACACCUAGUUUUAAAGGGCCCCUGCUGUUGCUGCCGCUGCCGCCGCUCCCAGCUGCCCAGUCUGGCGGGCUCAGUCCCGCGUUGCCAUGUGUGGGAGACCGCGUCCCGUAAGCGCUGGAUGUGGCUUCGCUGAUGCACAUUGGACCGGGCUCUGGACUGGGCUAGGGGAAGGGCAGGAGGGCGGAAUUGGGCCCGAGGGCCAGGCCUCGCCGACCCCCGACUGCGCCUCCCGGUGGCCCCGCAGCGCCUCCCGGUGGCCCUGGAGUGCAGGUCUUACCGUCCGAGAUCGCCCGCAACUGGGCGAGCUGUGCAUGGGGCGUGGCCAAGGCCGUGGUUUGGUUACGAUUGGCCAGCGGGACUUAAGUGUUGUCUCUGAAGAGCAUGGACAUUAGUCUGGAGGGUCCUGGAAGAGUGAUCCCCGCCCCACCAUCAAAUGGCGCUUAGGUCUAGGAAGCGGGUGUGGGUGGGGCCUUAGGGCGAGGCGCAGACACACCCCGAAGUGGUUGGAUUGUAUACCGCAAGGGGCUGGAUCGAACCCCCUAAAGACACUGGAAGGCUGUGUGGCUGAGGAGGGCCCGGCAGAUCCAGUGUGUCGUGGGCUUUACAGGAAAGAGCUCCACCUUCGCUGGAGUGUGCAGAUGCGAUCUAGGUGUGUCCACCCGAUGGGAGCUGCGGGCCGGGCAGAUGCUGCCCCAGUACAAAGCUGAUUUGGACCUGGGGCCUCUGGACUUCCCUGAUUCUCUGCUUGCAUCUCCAGCAAAGUCCUGUCCCAUUGGCUGCCUUCAUCCACUCUCUCGCCUCUCUGCCUUCAGAGUAAAAUUGCAAGAUCUGUGGUGCUUACUGGGAUCUGAUAGAGUCUCUCGGCAUCCACUGUCUAUGCAGCGGGUGUCCACCUGCAGCGGGGGGCCAUGUGCAGCGGGGGGCCACGUGCAGUGUGUGCCUCUUCUUAGCCAUGCUGGACAGCGCCGCCCCUGAAAAGCAGCUCCCCUGUUUCACCCAGAAAGCCAUCCAGAACCUCCUGGAAAAGGUGGCCUGAUGGCCAGGUGGCCUGAUGGCCAAGUGGCCUGGGAUGCCAGGAUCAAUCCUUUGAACUUUUCCUGUGGGCUGUCAGGACCCAUAGAAGGUCUUUGAGCAGGUGAGUUUGGAGCAGAUCUGGUAGGCAGGCGAACAGAUGGAUGCGUGCACUGGAGAUUCCAUGGGCUCCCCUGUGUACAUCUCUUCCCUUUGGGAAACUGCCCUGAGUGAGGGGCUAAGGGCAGGAUUUGCAUUGAAAUCCUAGCUUUGCUGCUGUCAGCCCAACUUUUAGGCAACAGGGUCUUGGUUAGAUGUGACAUUUCCAAGUCCAUCUUGUAUCACAACCUGUCAGCUGCAGCUCACUUAUUCAAUCUAUUGUGGUUCAAGUUCCCAAGAAAAGGAAUCAGUCUGGUCUGCUCUCCAGAUCAGAUUACAUUUACUUGCCUAGGAAUUGUCUGCCCUUUAACUCAAGACUUUGCACUGUUGUUCACAUUUGUAAUCCCAGCACUUUGGGAGGCCAAAGCAGGAGUAUUGCUUGAGCCCAGGAGUUCAAGACCAGCCAGGGAAAUAUAACAAGACCCUAUCUCUACAAAAAUUAAAAUUAGGUUGGGCACUGUGGCUCAUGCCUGUAAUCCCAGCACUUUGGGAGGCCCUGGCAGGUGGAUCACCUGAUGUCAGGCGUUCGAGACCAGCCUGACCAACAUGGUGAAACCCCGUCUCUACUAAAUACAAAAAGUUAGCUGGAUAUGGUGGUGCAGGCCUGUAAUCCUACUUGGGAGGCUGAGGCAGGAGAAUCACUUGAACCCGGGAGGUGGAGGUUGCAGUGAGCCGAGAUUGUCCCAUUGCACUCCAACCUGGGCAACAAGAGCAAAACUCCGUCUCAAAAAUAAAAUAAAAUAAAAUAACCAGGUGCAUGUCAGUGGUGCGUGCCUGUGGUCCCAGC
rnacentral:lncRNA from 1 species